AUUGAACGCUGGCGGCAGGCUUAACACAUGCAAGUCGAACGGUAACAGGAAGCAGCUUGCUGCUUCGCUGACGAGUGGCGGACGGGUGAGUAAUGUCUGGGAAGCUGCCUGAUGGAGGGGGAUAACUACUGGAAACGGUAGCUAAUACCGCAUAAUGUCGCAAGACCAAAGAGGGGGACCUUCGGGCCUCUUGCCAUCGGAUGUGCCCAGAUGGGAUUAGCUUGUUGGUGGGGUAACGGCUCACCAAGGCGACGAUCCCUAGCUGGUCUGAGAGGAUGACCAGCCACACUGGGACUGAGACACGGUCCAGACUCCUACGGGAGGCAGCAGUGGGGAAUAUUGCACAAUGGGCGCAAGCCUGAUGCAGCCAUGCCGCGUGUAUGAAGAAGGCCUUCGGGUUGUAAAGUACUUUCAGCGGGGAGGAAGGGAGUAAAGUUAAUACCUUUGCUCAUUGACGUUACCCGCAGAAGAAGCACCGGCUAACUCCGUG
rnacentral:rRNA from 1 species